rnacentral:tRNA from 1 species
UUAGUUAUAGUUUAAUAAAAACAUUAAUUUUGUAAAUUAAAAAUAAAAUAAUUUUAACUAAU